rnacentral:rRNA from 1 species
GAAUAUUGGACAAUGGGCGAGAGCCUGAUCCAGCCAUGCCGCGUGCAGGAAGACGGCCCUAUGGGUUGUAAACUGCUUUUAUACGGGAAGAAACACCUCUUCGUGAAGAGGCUUGACGGUACCGUAAGAAUAAGGAUCGGCUAACUCCGUGCCAGCAGCCGCGGUAAUACGGAGGAUCCAAGCGUUAUCCGGAAUCAUUGGGUUUAAAGGGUCCGUAGGCGGGAUAAUAAGUCAGUGGUGAAAGUCUGCAGCUCAACUGUAGAAUUGCCAUUGAUACUGUUAUUCUUGAGUGUUUACGAAGUGGUUAGAAUAUGUAGUGUAGCGGUGAAAUGCAUAGAUAUUACAUAGAAUACCGAUUGCGAAGGCAGAUCACUAAUAAAAUACUGACGCUGAUGGACGAAAGCGUAGGUAGCGAACAGG